CCUACGGGUGGCAGCAGUGAGGAAUAUUGGUCAAUGGCCGGAAGGCUGAACCAGCCAUGCCGCGUGAAGGUCAGUGCCCUAUGGGCGUUAAACUUCUUUUGUGCGGGAGCAAUAAUGCUCACGUGUGGCCAGACGAGAGUACCGUACGAAUAAGCAUCGGCUAACUCCGUGCCAGCAGCCGCGGUAAUACGGAGGAUCCGAGCGUUAUCCGGAUUUAUUGGGGUUAAAGGGGGCGGAUAUGGGUUGUUAAGUCUGUUGGGAAAGUUUGCGGCUCAACCGUAAAAUUGCAAUUGAUACUGGCAGCCUUGAGUACAGUUGAGGUAGGCGGAAUUCGUGGUGUAGCGGUGAAAUGCUUAGAUAUCACGAAGAACUCCGAUUGCGAAGGCAGCCUACUAAACUGCCACUGACAUUGAUGCUCGAAAGUGUGGGUAUCAAACAGGAUUAGAUACCCGGGUAGUC
rnacentral:rRNA from 1 species